UACGUAGGGUGCAAGCGUUGUCCGGAAUUAUUGGGCGUAAAGAGCUCGUAGGCGGUUUGUCGCGUCUGCUGUGAAAACUCGGGGCUUAACUCCGGGCCUGCAGUGGGUACGGGCAGACUAGAGUGCGGUAGGGGAGACUGGAAUUCCUGGUGUAGCGGUGAAAUGCGCAGAUAUCAGGAGGAACACCGAUGGCGAAGGCAGGUCUCUGGGCUGUAACUGACGCUGAGGAGCGAAAGCAUGGGGAGCGAACAGG
rnacentral:rRNA from 1 species